rfam:Schistosoma haematobium scaffold411_12, whole genome shotgun sequence.
GUCUAGCUGAAGAGUCCUGAAUAGGAUGAAACGUACAUCCUGGAU